rnacentral:tRNA from 1 species
AGAAUAGUAUUUAAAUUAUAAAAUCUAAUCUGCAAUUAGAAAUUGCUAUAGCCUAUUCU